rnacentral:rRNA from 1 species
UAGGGAAUCUUCGGCAAUGGACGGAAGUCUGACCGAGCAACGCCGCGUGAGUGAAGAAGGUUUUCGGGUCGUAAAGCUCUGUUGUAAGAGAAGAACGAGUGUGAGAGUGGAAAGUUCACACUGUGACGGUAUCUUACCAGAAAGGGACGGCUAACUACGUGCCAGCAGCCGCGGUAAUACGUAGGUCCCGAGCGUUGUCCGGAUUUAUUGGGCGUAAAGCGAGCGCAGGCGGUUAGAUAAGUCUGAAGUUAAAGGCUGUGGCUUAACCAUAGUAGGCUUUGGAAACUGUUUAACUUGAGUGCAAGAGGGGAGAGUGGAAUUCCAUGUGUAGCGGUGAAAUGCGUAGAUAUAUGGAGGAACACCGGUGGCGAAAGCGGCUCUCUGGCUUGUAACUGACGCUGAGGCUCGAAAGCGUGGGGAGCAAACAGGAUUAGAUACCCUGGUAGUCCACGCUGUAAACGAUGAGUGCUAGGUGUUAGACCCUUUCCGGGGUUUAGUGCCGUAGCUAACGCAUUAAGCACUCCGCCUGGGGAGUACGACCGCAAGGUUG